CUCCUACGGGAGGCAGCAGUGGGGAAUAUUGCACAAUGGGCGCAAGCCUGAUGCAGCGACGCCGCGUGGGGGAUGACGGCCUUCGGGUUGUAAACUCCUUUCGUUAGGGACGAAGCCAUGCUUUUUUUGGGUGUGGUGACGGUACCUUUGUUAAGAAGCACCGGCUAACUACGUGCCAGCAGCCGCGGUAAUACGUAGGGUGCGAGCGUUGUCCGGAAUUACUGGGCGUAAAGAGCUCGUAGGUGGUUUGUUGCGUCGUCUGUGAAAUUCCGGGGCUUAACUUCGGGGUGGCAGGCGAUACGGGCAUAACUAGAGUGCUGUAGGGGAGACUGGAAUUCCUGGUGUAGCGGUGGAAUGCGCAGAUAUCAGGAGGAACACCGAUGGCGAAGGCAGGUCUCUGGGCAGUAACUGACGCUGAGGAGCGAAAGCAUGGGGAGCGAACAGGAUUAGAUACCCUGGUAGUCCAUGCUGUAAACGGUGGGCGUUAGGUGUGGGGACUAUAUUGGUUUCUGUGCCGUAGCUAACGCAUUAAGCGCCCCGCCUGGGGAGUACGGCCGCAAGGCUAAAACUCAAAGGAAUUGACGGGGGCCCGCACAAGCGGCGGAGCAUGUGGAUUAAUUCGAUGCAACGCGAAGAACCUUACCUGGGUUUGACAUGCACCAGACGGUUAUAGAGAUAUGUACCUCCCUUUGUGGUUGGUGUGCAGGUGGUGCAUGGUUGUCGUCAGCUCGUGUCGUGAGAUGUUGGGUUAAGUCCCGCAACGAGCGCAACCCUUGUCUUAUGUUGCCAGCACGUGAUGGUGGGGACUCAUGAGAGACUGCCGGGGUUAACUCGGAGGAAGGUGGGGAUGACGUCAAAUCAUCAUGCCCUUUAUGCCCAGGGCUUCACACAUGCUACAAUGGUUAGUACAAUGCGCUGCGAGCCUGUGAGGGUGAGCGAAUCGCUGAAAGCUAAUCUCAGUUCGGAUUGGGGUCUGCAACUCGACCCCAUGAAGUCGGAGUCGCUAGUAAUCGCAGAUCAGCAAUGCUGCGGUGAAUACGUUCCCGGGUCUUGUACACACGC
rnacentral:rRNA from 1 species